rnacentral:rRNA from 1 species
UACGUAGGGGGCAAGCGUUGUCCGGAUUUAUUGGGCGUAAAGAGCGUGUAGGCGGCCAGGUAGGUCCGUUGUGAAAACUGGAGGCUCAACCUCCAGCUGUCGAUGGAAACCAUCUGGCUAGAGUCCGGAAGAGGAGAGUGGAAUUCCUGGUGUAGCGGUGAAAUGCGCAGAUAUCAGGAAGAACACCCGUGGCGAAGGCGGCUCUCUGGGACGUGACUGACGCUGAGACGCGAAAGCGUGGGGAGCGAACAGG